rnacentral:rRNA from 1 species
UUACGGCCAUAUCAAAUUGAAUCACCGCUUCCCAUACGAUCACCGAAGUUAAGAAACGUAGAGCCUUGUCAGUAUCUAGAUGGGUGACCACUUGGGAAUACUAGUCGCU